GUAGGGAAUCUUGCGCAAUGGGCGAAAGCCUGACGCAGCCAUGCCGCGUGAAUGAUGAAGGUCUUAGGAUUGUAAAAUUCUUUCACCGGGGACGAUAAUGACGGUACCCGGAGAAGAAGCUCCGGCUAACUUCGUGCCAGCAGCCGCGGUAAUACGAAGGGGGCUAGCGUUGCUCGGAAUUACUGGGCGUAAAGGGCGCGUAGGCGGACAGCUUAGUCAGAGGUGAAAGCCCAGGGCUCAACCUUGGAAUUGCCUUUGAUACUGGCUGUCUUGAGUUUGGGAGAGGUGAGUGGAACUCCGAGUGUAGAGGUGAAAUUCGUAGAUAUUCGGAAGAACACCAGUGGCGAAGGCGACUCACUGGCCCAAUACUGACGCUGAGGCGCGAAAGCGUGGGGAGCAAACAGGAUUAGAUACCCUGGUAGUCC
rnacentral:rRNA from 1 species